GGGCCUAAAGCAUCCGUAGCCGGCCGUCUAAGUUUUCGGUUAAAUCUAUGCGCUUAACGUAUAGGCCGCCGAAAAUACUGGACAGCUAGGGAGUGGGAGAGGUACACGGUACUCAAUAGGAAGGGGUAAAAUCCUUUGAUCUAUUGAUGACCACCUGUGGCGAAGGCGGUGUACCAGAACACGUUCGACGGUGAGGGAUGAAAGCUGGGGGAGCAAACCGGAUUAGAUACCCGGGUAGUCCCAGCUGUAAACGAUGCAGACUCGGUGAUGCAUUGGCUUGUGGCCAAUGCAGUGCCGCAGGGAAGCCGUUAAGUCUGCCGCCUGGGAAGUACGUACGCAAGUAUGAAACUUAAAGGAAUUGGCGGGGGAGCACCACAAGGGGUGAAGCCUGCGGUUCAAUUGGAGUCAACGCCAGAAACCUUACCCGGGGCGACAGCAGAAUGAAGGUCAAGCUGAAGACUUUACCAGACAAGCUGAGAGGUGGUGCAUGGCCGUCGCCAGCUCGUGCCGUGAGAUGUCCUGUUAAGUCAGGUAACGAGCGAGACCCCUGCGUCUAGUUGCUACCAUUACUCUCUGGAGUAGUGGAGCGAAUUAGACGGACCGCCACAGUUAAUGUGGAGGAAGGAAGGGGCCACGGCAGGUCAGUAUGCCCCGAAACCCUGGGGCCACACGCGGGCUGCAAUGGUAUUGACAAUGUGUUCCGAAUCCGAAAGGAGGAGGCAAUCAUCAAACGAUACCUCAGUUAUGACUGAGGGCUGUAACUCGCCCUCACGAAUAUGGAAUCCCUAGUAACUG
rnacentral:rRNA from 1 species